UACAGAGGUCUCAACCGUUGUUCGGAUUCAUUGGGCGUAAAGGGUGCGUAGGCGGUCGCGCAAGUCGGAUGUGAAAUCUCAAGGCUCAACCCUGAAACUGCAUUCGAUACUGCGUGGCUAGAGUGCUGGAGAGGAGACUGGAAUUUACGGUGUAGCAGUGAAAUGCGUAGAUAUCGUAAGGAAGACCAGUGGCGAAGGCGAGUCUCUGGACAGCAACUGACGCUGAGGCACGAAGGCCAGGGGGAGCAAACGGGG
rnacentral:rRNA from 1 species